rnacentral:rRNA from 1 species
AUUGAACGCUGGCGGCAGGCCUAACACAUGCAAGUCGAGCGGUAACAGGAAUAGCUUGCUAUUCGCUGACGAGCGGCGGACGGGUGAGUAACGCGUAGGAAUCUGCCCGGUAGUGGGGGAUAGCCCGGAGAAAUCCGGAUUAAUACCGCAUACGCCCUAAGGGGGAAAGCAGGGGAUCUUCGGACCUUGCGCUAUCGGAUGAGCCUGCGUCGGAUUAGCUUGUUGGUGGGGUAAUGGCCUACCAAGGCAACGAUCCGUAGCUGGUCUGAGAGGAUGAUCAGCCACACCGGAACUGAGACACGGUCCGGACUCCUACGGGAGGCAGCAGUGGGGAAUAUUGCACAAUGGGCGCAAGCCUGAUGCAGCCAUGCCGCGUGUGUGAAGAAGGCCUUCGGGUUGUAAAGCACUUUCAGCAGGGAGGAAAGGUUGUAAAUUAAUACUUUGCAGCUGUGACGUUACCUGCAGAAGAAGCACCGGCUAAC